AGCAGCCGCGGUAAUUCCAGCUCCAAUAGCGUAUAUUAAAGUUGUUGCAGUUAAAAAGCUCGUAGUUGAAUUUCGAGACCGGUCUACUGGUCGUGCUUUUGUACGUACUGGUAUAAUCGGUUUCUCUCUUCUGACGAACUAUAAUGCCAUUAAUUUGGUGUUUUAGGGAAUCAGGACUGUUACUUUGAAAAAAUUAGAGUGUUUAAAGCAGGCUCACGCUUGAAUACAUUAGCAUGGAAUAACGAAAUAGGACGUUUGAUUCUAUUUUGUUGGUUUCUAGGAUCGACGUAAUGAUUAAUAGGGAUAGUUGGGGGCAUUAGUAUUCAAUUGUCAGAGGUGAAAUUCUUGGAUUUAUUGAAGACUAACUACUGCGAAAGCAUUUGCCAAGGAUGUUUUCAUUAAUCAAGAACGAAAGUUAGGGGAUCGAAGACGAUCAGAUACCGUCGUAGUCUUAACCAUAAACUAUGCCGACUAGGGAUCGGAUGAUGU
rnacentral:rRNA from 1 species